rnacentral:lncRNA from 1 species
UUCGACCUUUGAAGCCAUGUUCUGUUAUGCUAUGAUUACGAAUGAAGAAACAAAACGACGCCUCGCUGCAACCGAUGCUCCAAAAAUGUUUAUUUUCCUGUAAUUGAAUUGAUUACGGUGUAAUGUUUUAUUAUAAGCGCAACUGGCGGUAGCUGGUAACUGGUCACGUUUACGUAAAUAUAGCCGAUAUAUUCGAGCUGCCGAUGUGGAUCUUGAAGCGGAAUAAGCUGACUUUUGUUUGUUCCAAUCUGUCACCCAACAGCUUGCGUUUUACGAGAAGUUUAUUACUUAAAUAAUUAAACAUUACGAGACGAUUACGAACUCACAAUUACGUGUAUAGUUAGUUACUCAACAGUCACAGAUAUAAACUAUCAAGAUCUUCUGGAAAUGUAACUCAGUAACAGUAUGGUGGUCAUGUGACAACUUUACAGAAGAUCGUAACAUAUGAUAAGCUUUAUAUGUUCGUAAAAAAUAUGAAUUACAUAUAAAGUUAACAGAAGAUCCCAAUUACAAUAAUAUUAGUUGUUGGCCAUAUGACAGUAAGUCAGUAACUAACAAACUACUAAGCAAAACGUGCUGUACAAAGGAGAAUCCGUGAGCUGUUUGUGCAGUGCAACUUUUGAGAACACACAAUGCCCACAUGGAAGGAAGAAGCAAUCCCUUGGAGCAUCAAAGCAAAUUGCACAAAGAUGCCGGGAAUUGCACAAAUUGCACAGGUGCCUGUCGCACCAAAACUUGGUGCGACAGGCAAGUUUCGUACGACAGGCAGCAUGUCGCCAGAUUCACCCUCGACUUGCAGUUACUGAAACUCUCGAGCAAGUUCAGAAAAUAACUCAUACCACUAUGUGUUGCCGAUUAAUAUUGGAUCCGAAUAGAUUAUGAUCGGAUUUCACUUUUAUCGUUGCCUUUUGCCAUCGCCGUUGGUUGAUGAUUCAAGAGUGGAAAGCUGCCUUUGGUUUGACGAAAUGGGAGAAACAAAAUUGCUUUUGGUUUGUAAAGAAGGGUAAUUUGGGGAGAAAAGCGUGUGUUUGACUAAUGUUGAUAGAAAAAAGUUGAGAGGAUUAAUUGUGAAAAUAGCAAAAGUUUUAUGGUUAUUUUCGUAAAUUUCUCCAUUUUACUCUCGAUGAAAUUAAUUGACUUACUUUGAUUUAGGUAUUGAUUUUUAAGUCACAUCUUCAAAUAAAUAAAUAAAUAAAUUGAAAGUACGUGUGUGUAUAUAAUACAAUUUGAGCAUCUAAAGACGUAAUUUAGUAAUUUUUAAGUAGGUUAUGUAUAUAUUUAUAAUGAAAUUUAACAACACAAAAUAAAUCAACUGAGAUAUCGAUUGAUAUUAUAGUUGUAUAAUUACAGUAUUAACAUCAACUUUUAUGAUGUAGAAACUAAAUUAAUUAUAUUUCAUAUAUACAUAUA